rnacentral:rRNA from 1 species
AUUGAACGCUGGCGGCAGGCUUAACACAUGCAAGUCGAACGAGUGGCGGACGGGUGAGUAAUGCUUGGGAAUCUAGCUGAUGGAGGGGGAAAACUACGGGAAACUGUCGCUAAUACCACGUACCAUAGUAUAAGCCCAGUGGGGAUUAGUGAGUUGGUGGGGUAAUGGCACACCAAGCCGACGAUCUCUAGCUGGUCUGAGAGGAUGACCGGCCACACUGGGACUGAGACACGGCCCAGACUCCUACGGGAGGCAGCAGUGGGGAAUAUUGCGCAAUGGGCGCAAGCCUGAUGCAGCCAUGCCGCGUGAAUGAAGAAGGCCGUCGGGUUGUAAAGUUCUUUCGGUCGCGAGGCGUUACCUACAGAAGAAGCACCGGCUAACUCCGUGCCAGCAGCCGCGGUAAUAC